GCCUUGCCAGCCCGCUCAGAAACUUAAAGGAAUUGACGGGGGCCCGCACAAGCGGUGGAGUAUGUGGUUAAUUCGAUGCAACGCGAAGAACCUUACCUGGUCUUGACAUCCCGGAGACCCUUAGGAAACUAGGGGGUGCUUCCAUCUGGAAGAAUCUGGAGACAGGUGCUGCAUGGCUGUCGUCAGCUCGUGUCGUGAGAUGUUGGGUUAAGUCCCGCAACGAGCGCAACCCUUGCCUUUAGUUGCCAGCAGUUCGGCUGGGCACUCUAAAGGGACUGCCGGUGUUAAACCGGAGGAAGGUGGGGAUGACGUCAAGUCCUCAUGGCCUUUAUGACCAGGGCUACACACGUACUACAAUGGCCGAUACAAAGGGCAGCGACACUGCGAGGUGAAGCCAAUCCCGUAAAAUCGGUCUCAGUCCGGAUUGGAGUCUGCAACUCGACUCCAUGAAGUUGGAAUCGCUAGUAAUCGUGGAUCAGCAUGCCACGGUGAAUACGUUCCCGGGCCUU
rnacentral:rRNA from 1 species